rnacentral:sRNA from 1 species
AUCGAAACAAGACGCCAGACGCAGGAGGCCCUUAUGUUCGUCGAUGUUGUGGUUCUAGCCGGUAUCGGCACUGUUGGCCUGAUGCUCGCCUUCUUCGGUGGCGUCGGAUACUUCAUCUGGAAGGACUCUCACAAGCGCGACAAGAAAGCGUAAGUCGAGUUCUCCAGGUACACAGGCACGCAAGGCACCUCGGGCGACUUCGGUCGCCCUUUUUUUCG